UCAGAUUGAACGCUGGCGGAAUGCUUUACACAUGCAAGUCGAACGGUAACAGGUCUUCGGAUGCUGACGAGUGGCGAACGGGUGAGUAAUAUAUCGGAACGUGCCCAGUCGUGGGGGAUAACGUAGCGAAAGUUACGCUAAUACCGCAUACGAUCUACGGAUGAAAGCGGGGGAUCGCAAGACCUCGCGCGAUUGGAGCGGCCGAUAUCAGAUUAGGUAGUUGGUGGGGUAAAGGCUCACCAAGCCAACGAUCUGUAGCUGGUCUGAGAGGACGACCAGCCACACUGGAACUGAGACACGGUCCAGACUCCUACGGGAGGCAGCAGUGGGGAAUUUUGGACAAUGGACGCAAGUCUGAUCCAGCCAUUCCGCGUGCAGGAUGAAGGCCCUCGGGUUGUAAACUGCUUUUGUACGGAACGAAAAGGUUUCCAUUAAUACUGGGAGCUCAUGACGGUACCGUAAGAAUAAGCACCGGCUAACUACGUGCCAGCAGCCGCGGUAAUACGUAGGGUGCAAGCGUUAAUCGGAAUUACUGGGCGUAAAGCGUGCGCAGGCGGUUAUAUAAGACAGAUGUGAAAUCCCCGGGCUCAACCUGGGAACUGCAUUUGUGACUGUAUAGCUAGAGUACGGUAGAGGGGGAUGGAAUUCCGCGUGUAGCAGUGAAAUGCGUAGAUAUGCGGAGGAACACCGAUGGCGAAGGCAAUCCCCUGGACCUGUACUGACGCUCAUGCACGAAAGCGUGGGGAGCAAACAGGAUUAGAUACCCUGGUAGUCCACGCCCUAAACGAUGUCAACUGGUUGUUGGGUCUUCACUGACUCAGUAACGAAGCUAACGCGUGAAGUUGACCGCCUGGGGAGUACGGCCGCAAGGUUGAAAC
rnacentral:rRNA from 1 species